rnacentral:rRNA from 1 species
UACGGAGGGUGCAAGCGUUAUCCGGAUUUACUGGGUUUAAAGGGUGCGUAGGCGGGCAUGUAAGUCAGUGGUGAAAUACCGGAGCUUAACUUCGGAACUGCCAUUGAUACUAUAUGUCUUGAAUAUUGUGGAGGUAAGCGGAAUAUGUCAUGUAGCGGUGAAAUGCAUAGAUAUGACAUAGAACACCGAUUGCGGAGGCAGCUUGCUACACAAAUAUUGACGCUGAGGCAAGAAAGCGUGGGGAUCAAACAGG